CAGUCGAACGGACUUACAUUGAAGCCUAGCGAUAUGUAAGUUAGUGGCGGACGGGUGAGUAACGCGUGGGUAACCUGCCUUGUACUGGGGGACAACAGUUGGAAACGACUGCUAAUACCGCAUAAGCGCACAGCUUCGCAUGAAGCAGUGUGAAAAACUCCGGUGGUACAAGAUGGACCCGCGUCUGAUUAGCUGGUUGGUGAGGUAACGGCCCACCAAGGCAACGAUCAGUAGCCGGCCUGAGAGGGUGAACGGCCACAUUGGGACUGAGACACGGCCCAAACUCCUACGGGAGGCAGCAGUGGGGAAUAUUGCACAAUGGGGGAAACCCUGAUGCAGCAACGCCGCGUGAGUGAAGAAGUAUUUCGGUAUGUAAAGCUCUAUCAGCAGGAAAGAAAAUGACGGUACCUGACUAAGAAGCCCCGGCUAACUACGUGCCAGCAGCCGCGGUAAUACGUAGGGGGCAAGCGUUAUCCGGAUUUACUGGGUGUAAAGGGAGCGUAGACGGUUUUGCAAGUCUGAAGUGAAAGCCCGGGGCUUAACCCCGGGACUGCUUUGGAAACUGUAGGACUAGAGUGCAGGAGAGGUAAGUGGAAUUCCUAGUGUAGCGGUGAAAUGCGUAGAUAUUAGGAGGAACACCAGUGGCGAAGGCGGCUUACUGGACUGUAACUGACGUUGAGGCUCGAAAGCGUGGGGAGCAAACAGGAUUAGAUACCCUGGUAGUCCACGCCGUAAACGAUGAUUACUAGGUGUUGGUGGGUAUGACCCAUCGGUGCCGCAGCAAACGCAAUAAGUAAUCCACCUGG
rnacentral:rRNA from 1 species